CUGUGUCGCGGGGAUUCCGUGUCGGUGGGAGCAGCGGCGUCGCCAAGGGCCACCAUGCGCGUCGCGGCAGGCACAAGAUCUUUCUGGUGACUCCGUGACGACGAGCAAGGCGUGCGUGAGCGUAGCGGUUAUUCUGGCGACUACCGGCACGGGAACUGCGGCGUGCAGCUGCAGGCAUUGCAUGACUAAUCUGAAACAUGGAUUUUAUAUCUCUCUGAAGACGAAGCUUUCCAGGUGAAUUUGUGUGGUCUUAGUACAAGCGCAUGAGGUGUUUCUAGCCAGCCUAGAAGUCCAGCCGCCUUCUAUGUCGCCUCAUCCGGUAUUAAUUGGAUUUCUUCGUCAUCAACUGCUGAGAUCAGAUUAGCAGUGCCAAUUGAGAUGACACGAAGCUGAGGCAAUGUUAAGUUUGUUAAGUUUAGGAUGCAACAAGGGUGGCACUAGCACUGCCGAAGUAAAGAAGAACAGCAAACAUUCGACCUUUACGGAAUUUUUGUCAUUCAGUAAAAAUAUGUGAAUUGAGGACUAUAUUGGUUCUUUCCUGUCGGUGGAGUAUUGUUUUUAUGCAUGCCAUUCGUUUUAUAGGAAUGCCUAAUGAUAUGCCUAGGUGUUAUUUUUCCCCAACUGAACUAUUUUGUAGCUUCAGUUAAGUUUUGAUUUAUCCCUACAACGAACACCUUAGUACUGGUAGGUACGAGCUAAUAUGUCAUCUUCCCUUCUAUGCCUCUUUUCGUGGAUCAAAUUCCCAUGUCUAAUCUCCUGGUAAACCCCCACCAUUAAAUUCCUAUUCUCCUUCCCAAGUAUUGCCAAACACGCUGAAAAGGAAGUAGUAAAUUUUGUUUCCAUUACCUAACCUAGAUAUAAAAGAAUAUGUGUCCAACAAAUAGUAAGUGAUAAAAAUUCUAUCUUUUUUGGUCAAAUAAAACUUUCAAGUCACCGAUUGUUAUUUAUUUGGUUGCAUUCAAAACCUGAAGUUCUUUGAUUUCACCUAGAUUUGGAUAUGCAAACGGCCGUUGAGUGUGUAGUUGGUAAUUUUGUCCUCUCCCUUUUCAUGUAUUUACUAUGUUGCUACUUUUAUUCUAUCUUACAACAUGAUUUUCAUCUUCUUCAUAGUUGAUGGGAUUGCUUUUGCCGUCUCACUUGCAGGCUCGGCUGCGGGUUUAGCCGUCGGCAUGUCCACAUGCUCAGCCUUCCAUUGUUAUGGAUGCUUGAAGGCGUGAUAUUUGUGUCAACAGGAUCCCAGUUGGAUAUGAGGCUAAGAAUGACAUGUUUCUUCUUCUUCUUUCCUUUUUUCCUUUUUUCAAACUUUUUUAUUUGUUUCUGUUAGACACACUGAAUAUCUUUCUUUUAUUUGUAGGUAAUACUGGUUUUGGUGGCUCUACUGGCCGGUCUUCAGCAGUGUCAGCCACCUUUUUUCAGAGUGUUCUUGAUCAAGUCCAAGUGCUAUAUCAGCCUAUGCCAGACAUCAAUUCUCCGAGUGUGAUUAUCAUUCUCAGUUUCCAAGUUCAAUUUUGGCACCGGCUUCUGUUUCGCUUGGGUGGUUAUAUGACGUGUCCCAUCCCAGUAGAUGUCCAC